rnacentral:rRNA from 1 species
AAUUUUCAACAACGGAUCCCUUGGCUCUCGCAUCGAUGAAGAACGCAGCGAAAUGCGAUAAGUAAUGUGAAUUGCAGAAUUCAGUGAAUCAUCGAAUCUUUGAACGCACCUUGCGCUCUUUGGUAUUCCGAAGAGCAUGCCUGUUUGAGUGUCA